rnacentral:misc_RNA from 1 species
CCGAGUAUCGGUACCCUUAUGGGUACCUACUCCCACCAUUUGUGAACCUUUUUCGUUGCCUCGGCGGAUCGAUGGUACCCCCAUCCUUCGGCGUAAGCUGAAGAGUUGUCCGCCAGAGGAUUUUCAAACCAAUCUUAACUUUGAAAUCUGAGUUUAAACAAAUAAAAACA